ensembl:lncRNA
GUACAGCAGCACAAUUAACUGCUUUACUUAACAUACAAGUUUAUAAGUGAUCUCCAUGAUACCACUGACAUGAAGAAAGUAAGUGGGGUUAAACUGUCUCUCAUUACAAGCUGAUCUUUGUGCAGUCUUUGGUUUGUAGAACUGGCAGCAGACGUGUAUUGCAGAACUAAAAGUUAUGAGAACCACCAUGAGGACAUAAUGGUGAGAUCAGAUGAGAAUGGGAGAAUCCACACAAGUCUUUAAUCUCCAUCAAGCCAAGAUAUUGUUUCUGCUUUGUUUUGUAGUUUAAAAUAAAUCCUCGAUGACACUGUCAUCGUCCCAUUUUGUGGUCUUCAUUUCCUCCUGAUUAUAAACAAUAAUCAGGUUUCCCUUUGGCAGGGCUGGGAGGCAGGGGAGUUCAAACUCUGCUGCUCACAGAGAGCAAGAACUGCUUUUCCCACUGCAGUGUUUCAGAUCUCCAGCUCCCUGGACUGAGGCUGCUGUGAUGGUGAGUUCAUAAAGACACUGAGUGUUCAGAAGUUGUGUCACAUUAGCCAGAAGUGCUCCAUGAUGAGGCCGAGGGAGAAAUGCCCCCAUGGCUUUGCAAUCAGGGAACAGGCUGGGGAUAAGUGCUGGUAAAUGGCUGGAAUGGUGACUUUCCCCUGCCCCACAGAACACAGCUUUGUCAAAGUGGAGCAGAUAAACAGCUUUCCAGUCCCAGCUCAAACACCAAGGAUUUCCUGCCACCAUAAAGCUGUAAUUGCUGAAUUAAUAACAGCAGGUUUUGGAGAGAGACUGCACAGACUCUCUGACCCAGCCAAAAUAAUUUUGCCAUGUGAAGGAGAACUCCUGAAAUGGAAGCAGAUUUGGAGAAUAUGUCUGACAAAGACAAUGGGGUUCAGCUUGGGAAUGUAGGCAAGCCCAGGAGAAGAUAUUUUCCUGAGAGCAAAUGACUUGUCUGGAGUGAAGCCUUCCAUUCCAGUGCCACAGAGCUGAGUGAUGAGAUCUAAAGCACAGCUUUGCUGGCGCUGUGUCACUCCUCUCCAGCACUGAGAGCAAGCAGUGGCCACAAAGCCUGGAGGUGACCUCAUCAAGGUGACUUUUCCCUCUGCUCACCAUUAAAAAUGCUCUUUCCUGACACAUUCUCAGUAUCUUCUUCAAUGAAAAGAUGAAGUUUUCUCACAGAUAUUUCUUACUCUUCAAUAUGACUUUCCCCUCAGUGGGAUAUGGCAGACCUGGGCUUUACUGUCACCAUCAGAGAUCAGGUCAUAUAUACAGGAUCAGAAAGUGCCACCUUGGUAAAGCUUAUGAUAAGCAGAAAGAAGGGGGGAAGAAAAUGGAAAUAGUGAACUAUAUCCAUUGUUUUCACAUCAUAGUAAGUUUUGAGAAAUACUAAACAAAAAAAGCAUUUUGUUUUUUUUUUCUCUCAAAUAGUUUGUCAAGUUAUGGCAAAUUGUGAGUGUGCAGAGAUAAAUUAUUGGAACAUUCUGUCUGCAUUUGCAUGCAUAGAUAUACAUAUAAAUAUAAACAUGUGUAUAAGUGAACUUGUGCACAUGUAAGCAGGUAAGUAAUGUAUGUGUUUGUGUGGCUGUAUAUACACACAUACAUAUACAUAUGAAUACACCCAAGAAAGUAAUUUUGCAAAACCUUUCUUUCUGUUGUUUAACAAUACUGAAAUGCUGGCAUUCAACAACCUAAAUCCUCAAACGUGUUGGAGAAACGUAGAUUUUAAUGGUGUUAAAUGAACCAUUUAGCACAGAGGGCCUCUCACCUUCAGUGGCACACUCUCAAAAUGAAAUCCAGUGUUCAGAUACAAUAAUAAAAAGAAGAAAAACAAUAUUACCUGUUUAAAG